CAGGGAGACCAAGGACCCACCAAUUCUGGACACACUACUAAGGUAUUUGUCCAGCCAGUGCGGACCCAUUCUUCGGAGACUGGGUCUCAGCUCUGCCCCAAGAUUUUUUGUUUCCUCAGUUCUGGGGAUGGCAAUUGUUUUAUAAGAUUACCACCUCUGUGAUACCUCAGUGCCCUAGUUUUGCCUGUUUAAUGCAUGUGAAGACAGUUUCUUAUGUAUUAAAAUACCUGAUGUGGUUUUUAUUUUCUGGAGUAACCUUAAGUGAAACACCAUGACUAAAGUCUCCUAAGAAUGACCUUCAUAAAUUAAGAUAUUUUGUCUUUCACAGUAAACAUGCUUCCGUAGUCAGAAGUGACACACGGCCAACUCAAAAUAGUUUGGGGAAAAAAGGAACUGCAUUGGCUGAAAGAAUCGAAAGAGUGAUUGAAAACCAACGGUAGGAAGUAUGGUUAUUCAACACAACUUCAGGAAUAAUUGAAAGCAGGGAAGAUCUGAAGAUAACUGAAGGCAGAAGAGAGAUUUUAAUCUGUUCGUGGAUCAGUAACAGGCUAGACCAAGAUUCCUAUGUAAUGAGCCAUGUGUUCAUGUCACCGUUCCUUCUGUUUCCUUAAAUAACAGAGAAUCAUUGAAUUUAAAAUGCACCAUCUUACUGACAUUUCUGUCUUUUGUCUAUGUCUAUCAGAAAAUGUGUAAUUGCACCUUGUGAGUUUGUGUGAAGGUUACAGUGGACUUCUGUAUGAAGAGAAAAUAACUUUAACAAUAAGGUGUCCUGUACUGUAUACUGUAUUCUCUUUAUAUAUAUAUAUAUAUUACUCUCAAAGUCAACUGCAUUUCAUCUUAACACAAGCAUACAGGUUUCAAAUAAGGAAUACAUAAUAUGACUUCAAAGGAAUUGCAGUAAGCCUAGCAGAAUGUCAGAUAUAUAUGCAUAUAAGAAGCAGAAGAUAUAAUUUUAAGAACUCGAGAAGAAUAAAAUUAAUUCUAUUCCAAAUUGUUUUCUACUGCUUCUUUGGCAUUUCCUUUCUUGGUAUUUGAGAUUUUAUUUAAGAGUGUAUUUUAUGGUUAUCAAUACAAAUGUCACUGUCUAAUAAUAUCUUAGGAAAAAAUGACA
rnacentral:lncRNA from 1 species